rnacentral:snoRNA from 1 species
AUUCGGGUUGAUAACUAGGUGGCCUGUCUCGAUUUCACACGACGUCCGCCCUUUAAGUAUCCGAGAUAUUGAUUGUUUUUUAAACAUUGCGGAGAUCUUACAAGCUUCCUGAGCGUUUUUUCUGUAUCAGGCAGCCUUUAUAUUUUUGCAACAUCA